GAUUAGUUUUGCUACAUGUCCAGUGGAUUUUUUUUUAUCACCAUAGUCAGUCAGACGUUAAUUUGUUAUUUACAGUCUUGUAGGGUUUAGUACUUCGUAACAGAAACACAAAGAUGUGAUAGCACAGGUGUAAUGCCCGUCGGUGUUCUACUGGUUUAUGGCACCGACUCGUGCACCAACAGGAAACACAACGUUCCACCUUAAAAGCUGCCGGUAGCAUUGUAGCUGUUUUGUUAGCUAACGUUAACUGAUACAUAGGAAGAGGCAGCAGACAUCUCAUUUCUUUUCAUUUUUGGAACAGCCAAAACUGUAAACAUUUCCAGUGAUGUAACGUUGGCGUUAGUUAAAGACAACAAUAAAACCAGGCCCAUCUCGGGCUAGCUAGCAGGUUGGGUUCUACUGAUACUAGUUCGCUCCGGUGAUACCUUCCUCAACUUUCAUUUCUGGGAUCUCCACCAGCCAGGGGGACGUGCCUCGUCACUGACACACACAUUCUUCUUCUUAUGUGAUCACGUGUUAGACACAGUUCCAGCCGAAGCAGUUAAAUGUGAACUACCAGCUGCAGGACGUGGGGAGAACCGGAUCUCAUUUCAAGGAAGAGACGAUGAUCCAGAUGUUUUUAAGACUAGAUUGAAGAUACCUUCCCUCAGCUAAAAGACACAGGAGCAUUUGUAUUACUGAGAAUCUCAGGUACAACACAAAGCCGUAACCUGUGCUCUAUCCCAGACGCUGGUUAUACAGCGAGAUACCUUCACAGCCAUCUGAGUGGAAUUGGUCAAGCAAUGGUCUAUAUAAGGCUACUGCAGAGAGGUAUUGAUCUGGAAGAUAGUCCAACAACCCUCCAGCAACAAGGACCACUCUUAAAAUGCCUGAGUUGUGACACAAACAUUCCCUUAAAAUGAGGAACCGCACCGUUAACUGCACAAGCUUGAUGGCAGUGCUGAACUGACAGAAACGUCCUCAAGCUUGCUCUGUGUUGGGACCUGCCAGGGGACACACAAACCAAUCGAGCUCCUUCUGUUCGACGCUGUUGUAAUACAAACCUCAAGUCAAGCUGCUGAGGGAAGGGCUCAAGGAGACUAUGGUGUGGCCACUUCUGACAGAAGGACCAGCCAUGCUUCCUCUGUUCUUACCAAGAGAAUCCCAGACCGCUCCCAGUUGUGAGAAAGGAUAGUUUGGUCUGGCAUGGAUGAAGAUGAGGAGGAAGAAUGCUCUUGAGGACCAGUGCAGAGAGGCAGGGUACCUUCAGUCCUCCAUUGAACUUGUGCAUCAUCCCAUUGUUUUUGUGCAUUCAGUGUACAAAGAUACUGACGCCCAGCAUGAGUUCCAGUUCCUUUGAUAACCACAGCUGCAGGGGUGAACGGUUGCCUGCUGUUCAGUCCUUGUUGAAUCCAUGCCACCACCAGUGACCAGAGCUGAUGGUGAA